UCCAAGGACACAUCAAACUCAAA
rnacentral:misc_RNA from 1 species